GCUGCAAGUCACAGGAUGUCACUGGUCCCCUUCUCUCUGUGGGUUGAGUGUGGGGGCCAUGUGGACUCCCUCAUGAGCAGAUGCCACCAGGGUCAGUGGCCCCAGCUUCCUCCUUCACAGCUGCACUGGGGGCUGGGGGUAGGGGCAUCCCAGGGAGCAUUUUUGUAUGAGCCUGAGUCACAGUGUGUGUUAUUCGGAGGAGGGACCCGGCUGACCGUCCUAGGUCAGCCCAAGGCUGCCCCCUCGGUCACUCUCUUCCCGCCCUCCUCUGAGGAGCUUCAAGCCAACAAGGCCACACUAGUGUGUCUGAUCAGUGACUUCUACCCGGGAGCCGUGGAAGUGGCCUGGAAGGCAGAUGGCAGCGCUGUCAACGCGGGAGUGGAGACCACCAAACCCUCCAAACAGAGCAACAACAAGUACGCGGCCAGCAGCUACCUGAGCCUGACGUCCGACCAGUGGAAGUCCCACAAGAGCUACAGCUGCCAGGUCACGCACGAAGGGAGCACCGUGGAGAAGACAGUGGCCCCUGCAGAAUGUUCAUAGGUUCCCAACCCUCACCCCACCCACGGGGGCCUGGAGCUGCAGGAUCCCAGGGGAGGGGUCUCUCCUCCCACCCCAAGGCAUCCAGCCCUUCUCCCUGCACUCAAUAAACCCUCAAUAAAUAUUCUCACUGACAAUCAGAAA